rnacentral:rRNA from 1 species
GUGAGGAAUAUUGGUCAAUGGGCGGGAGCCUGAACCAGCCAAGUCGCGUGAAGGAAGAAGGAUCUAUGGUUCGUAAACUUCUUUUGCAGGGGAAUAAAGUGCAGGACGUGUCCUGUUUUGUAUGUACUCUGCGAAUAAGGAUCGGCUAACUCCGUGCCAGCAGCCGCGGUAAUACGGAGGAUCCAAGCGUUAUCCGGAUUUAUUGGGUUUAAAGGGUGCGCAGGCGGGUUGAUAAGUCAGCGGUGAAAGUUUGCAGCUUAACUGUAAAAUUGCCGUUGAAACUGUCGAUCUUGAGUGCAAAUGAGGUAAGCGGAAUGUGUUGUGUAGCGGUGAAAUGCUUAGAUAUAACACAGAACACCGAUUGCGAAGGCAGCUUACUGGGAUGCAACUGACGCUCAUGCACGAAAGCGUGGGGAUCAAACAGGAUUAGAAACCCGGGUAGUCC